GUGAGUAACACGUGGAUAACCUACCUAUAAGACUGGAUAACUUCGGGAAACCGGAGCUAAUACCGGAUAAUAUUUUGAACCGCAUGGUUCAAAAGUGAAAGACGGUCUUGCUGUCACUUAUAGAUGGAUCCGCGCUGCAUUAGCUAGUUGGUAAGGUAACGGCUUACCAAGGCAACGAUGCAUAGCCGACCUGAGAGGGUGAUCGGCCACACUGGAACUGAGACACGGUCCAG
rnacentral:rRNA from 1 species